GGAAUUGACGGGGCCGCACAAGCGGUGGAGCAUGUGGUUAAUUCGACGCAACGCGAAGAACCUUACCAGGGCUUGACAUCCCCUGACCGCGUAUGAAAGUACGUUUUCACCCUCGGGUGACAGGGAGACAGGUGGUGCAUGGUUGUCGUCAGCUCGUGUCGUGAGAUGUUGGGUUAAGUCCCGCAACGAGCGCAACCCUUGCCUUUAGUUGCCAUCAUUCAGUUGGGCACUCUAGAGGGACUGCCGGUGUCAAACCGGAGGAAGGUGGGAUGACGUCAAGUCCUCAUGGCCUUUAUGCCCAGGGCUACACACGUGCUACAAUGGGCGGUACAAAGAGCAGCGAGCUCGCGAGAGUAAGCAAAUCUCAAAAAGCCGUCCUCAGUUCGGAUUGGAGUCUGCAACUCGACUCCAUGAAGUUGGAAUCGCUAGUAAUCGCAGAUCAGCACGCUGCGGUGAAUACGUUCCCGGGCCUU
rnacentral:rRNA from 1 species